UAAUUUGUGUGUACUGAACCAUCAACAUAUUAAACUGCAGAUCCAUACCGGCCAAGACUGGUGAUAGAUAUGUAUAGUAUUUUAGAUUGACGCAUGCUCAGCUGACUGGGGACUAUGAGUAUGGAAAACCAUUUUGCAGAAUUAGGAAUGUGCAGCUGAAAGUGGUCAAAGAUCAAAGGCCAAGACUGAUGUCAGCUUGAAAGAAACCACUCUGUGUAUUGGAUUUGCGAGAUAAAAGAUGAUGAAUUAAUGCACCAGUUUCAAGUCCAAAGAUCGAAAAGCACCAUUUAGGUCAAGG